rnacentral:rRNA from 1 species
AUUGAACGCUGGCGGCAGGCCUAACACAUGCAAGUCGAGCGGAUGAAGGGAGCUUGCUCCUGGAUUCAGCGGCGGACGGGUGAGUAAUGCCUAGGAAUCUGCCUGGUAUUGGGGUAUAACGUCCGGAAACGGGCGCUAAUACCGCAUACGUCCUGAGGGAGAAUGUUGUGGAACUUCGGACAUCACGCUAUCAGAUGAGCCUAGGUCGGAUUAGCUAGUUGGUGGGGUAAAGGCCUACCAAGGCGACGAUCCGUAACUGGUCUGAGAGGAUGAUCAGUCACACUGGAACUGAGACACGGUCCAGACUCCUACGGGAGGCAGCAGUGGGGAAUAUUGGACAAUGGGCGAAAGCCUGAUCCAGCCAUGCCGCGUGUGUGAAGAAGGUCUUCGGAUUGUAAAGCACUUUAAGUUGGGAGGAAGGGCAGUAAGUUAAUACCUUGCUGUUUUGACGUUACCAACAGAAUAAGCAACGGCUAACUUCGUG